UACGAGGGGGGCAAGCGUUGUUCGGAAUUAUUGGGCGUAAAGGGCGCGUAGGCGGUUUGACAAGUCUGAUGUGAAAUCUCUGGCCUCAACCCAGAGUCUGCAUUAGAAACUGUCGGGCUUGAGUAUGGGAGAGGUGAGUGGAAUUUCCGGUGUAGCGGUGAAAUGCGUAGAUAUCGGAAGGAACACCUGUGGCGAAAGCGGCUCACUGGACCAUAACUGACGCUGAGGCGCGAAAGCUAGGGGAGCAAACAGG
rnacentral:rRNA from 1 species